UUUUAUUUGAGAGUUUGAUCCUGGCUCAGGAUGAACGCUGGCGGCGUGCCUAACACAUGCAAGUUGAGCGAUUUACUUCGGUAAAGAGCGGCGGACGGGUGAGUAACGCGUGGGUAACCUACCCUGUACACACGGAUAACAUACCGAAAGGUAUGCUAAUACGGGAUAAUAUAUUUGAGAGGCAUCUCUUAAAUAUCAAAGGUGAGCCAGUACAGGAUGGACCCGCGUCUGAUUAGCUAGUUGGUAAGGUAACGGCUUACCAAGGCGACGAUCAGUAGCCGACCUGAGAGGGUGAUCGGCCACAUUGGAACUGAGACACGGUCCAAACUCCUACGGGAGGCAGCAGUGGGGAAUAUUGCACAAUGGGCGAAAGC
rnacentral:rRNA from 1 species